GGAAGUAAAUGUCGUAACAAGGUUUCCGUAGGUGAACCUGCGGAAGGAUCAUUAAUCAGUUGUCAUGGGGUUCGAUGCUGGCAGCCAGUUUUUGGAUGCAUGUGCUUGCCCUAACAAUCAUCUUCUUCCAAACACCUGUGCACAUUUUUGAGGGAGUCUUGAGUUGGUUGCCGCUCUUGGGUGAUUUUCUCACAUUCCCUUAAAUCAUUAUACGCUAUUAACAAUGUUGAACGUGCUCUGUGCCGCAAGGCCAUUAAUAUAAUACAACUUUUAACAACGGAUCUCUUGGCUCUCGCAUCGAUGAAGAACGCAGG
rnacentral:misc_RNA from 1 species